rnacentral:rRNA from 1 species
AGUGAACGCUGGCGGUAGGCCUAACACAUGCCAGUCGAACGGCAGCACAGUAAGAGCUUGCUCUUACGGGUGGCGAGUGGCGGACGGGUGAGGAAUACAUCGGAAUCUACUUUUUCGUGGGGGAUAACGUAGGGAAACUUACGCUAAUACCGCAUACGACCUACGGGUGAAAGCAGGGGAUCUUCGGACCUUGCGCGAUUGAAUGAGCCGAUCUCGGAUUAGCUAGUUGGCUGGGUAAAGGCCCACCAAGGCGACGAUCCGUAGCCGGUCUGAGGGGAUGAAAAGCCACACUGGAACUGAGACACGGUCCAGACUCCGACGGGGAGCAACAGUAGGGAAUAUUAGACAAUGGGCGGAAGCCUGAUCCAGCCAUACCGCGUGGGUGAAGAAGGCCUUCGGGUUGUAAAGCCCUUUAGUUAGGAAAGAAAAGCAGCAGGUUAAUACCCCGCUGUUCUGACAGUACCCGAAGAAUAAGCACCGGCUAACUUCGUG